rnacentral:lncRNA from 1 species
UCCUUCUCAUAGGGUGUUGACGUUUUCUCUAAAUCCUUCUUACUCAAAGGCAAAUUUGAAAUUGUUUUACUUAUAACGGGGAUACAGGUUAAAUGAUAAAUGCCACAUAGUGGGCAUAUGUUUCAGGCCAGGUGCUAUGCUCAGAGUUCACACCUGCCUGAUACUGUGAGGAUUGGGCUACAGAUUCUAAACCACACUCUCCAUAGAGGACAUGGCAGGUGAGCGGCUGGCUUCUGUGGGUCUGGGCCUGGUGGGUUAGUGUGGGCUGCAUGGCCCCAAGGCUGGGAGCUGUGUUGGGAUCUGGUGGCAGGGGGUUUAUCUGACAACCUCACUAUUCCAUGUCUCCUCUCUGUGUGGAGGAAUGGGAUGCAGCGAGGAGACCAGGCUGGAGUUCUGUAGAGUGUAAAAUCCUGGAUGUCCUCUCAGCCUGUCUCCUUGAGAGGACCUGCUGCCUGCCCUUCUGGAGCACGUCAUUCUCUUCUUGGAUGACCAAAUAAAUCAUUCAAGAGUGAAAUGAAAACUCCUUAUCUCCUUAUAGGAUCUGAGCUCAGUGAUGAGAAGUGGAAGGACAAUAAUUGACCAAUCACACAUUUAAAUGAAUAAAUUAGGCCGUUGGUGUUCAGCAGCAAUUUCAUGCCAUAAUUGACAAUAAAUAGCAAUUUUGAAAAUCAUCCUGCAAUGUACACUCAGCCA